AUACCUUCACUGCUGUAUUUUUCUUAUUGUUGAUAAGUGUUUCCAUUGCAAGUAAUUGCACACAAUGUACAGCCGAAGGGAAGCAACGUACUGGAAAUUCAAGUUUUCAUUUUCAAGACGGCUGUUGGGAAUAUAAUUGCUUUUGUAACUGCGAUGGUAGUUGAAAUUUCCCUUCUGAGGAUGCAAGGGAAAUCUGUUGGGGUGGACACUUGUUUUCCUCAUGCGGAAAUUGUCAAGUAAGAGGAUUCAUGUACAGGGGAAACAGUCAAUUGACAUAUUUAGAUGGCUGUUACCGGUUUUUCUGUACAUGCA
rnacentral:lncRNA from 1 species